rnacentral:rRNA from 1 species
CUACGGAGGGUGCAAGCGUUACUCGGAAUUACUGGGCGUAAAGGACGCGUAGGCGGUUUAGAAAGUCAGAUGUGAAAGCCUAUGGCUUAACCAUAGAACUGCAUUUGAAACUUCCAAACUAGAGUGGGGGAGAGGUCAGUGGAAUUAGUGGUGUAGGGGUAAAAUCCGUAGAGAUCACUAGGAAUACUCAUUGCGAAGGCGACUGACUGGAACUUAACUGACGCUGAGGCGUGAAAGCGUGGGGAGCAAACAGGAUUAGAAACCCCAGUAGUCC